rnacentral:rRNA from 1 species
UGCCAGAGCCAUAUCAACCUGCAGUUCUGGCCAGGUGUCCCACUGAAGCUAAGCAGGGUUGAGCCUGGCCAGUAGCUAGAUGGGAGACCUCCUGAGGAAAACUAAGGUUGCUUAAGCUG